rnacentral:rRNA from 2 species
UCUGGUGGUUAUAGCGAGGGGGUCACACCCGAACCCAUUCCGAACUCGGAAGUUAAGUCCCUCAGCGCCGAUGGUACUGCAGUCUUGUUCUGUGGGAGAGUAGGACGCCGCCAGUU